rnacentral:misc_RNA from 2 species
ACCAUUGGAUACCUUCGGGUAUAUCCCAUCCGUGUCUACAUACUCUUGUUGCUUUGGCAGGCCGUGGUCACCCACUGUGGGCUAUGCCUGCAUGCGCCUGCCAGAGGACCAAACUCUGAAUAUUAGUGAUGUCUGAGUACUAUAUAAUAGUUA